rnacentral:rRNA from 1 species
UCAAGCUAGAAAGAGCGCAAGGGGAAUGCCUUGGCAUCAGGAGCCGAAGAAGGACGUGACAAGCUGCGAUAAGCUGCGGUGAGCUGCACAUAAGCUUUGACCCGCAGAUUUCCGAAUGGGGAAACCCGGCAGAGCAAUACUCUGUCAGCGUGCGUUGAAUCAAAUAGGCGUACGCGGGGAACCGCCUGAACUGAAACAUCUAAGUAGGGCGAGGAAGAGAAAUCAACCGAGAUUCCGCUAGUAGUGGCGAGCGAACGCGGAAGAGGGCAAACCGGAGGAUUUAUCCUCCGGGGUUGUGGACAGUUUUUUAGCAACUGGAACUAGGAGAACGGUAUGGGAAGGCCGGCCAUAGCGGGUGAUAGCCCCGUAUCCGAAAGGGAAGGUUGUGCGACUGGAUCCAGAGUACCGCCGGACACGUGAAACCCGGUGGGAAGCUGGGGGGACCACCCUCCAACCCUAAAUACUACCUGAUGACCGAUAGAGGAGCAGUACCGUGAGGGAAAGGUGAAAAGGACCCCGGGAGGGGAGUGAAAGAGAACCUGAAACCUUGUGCUUACAAGCACUCAAAGCCCGUUAAAGGGUGAUGAGGUACCUUUUGUAGAAUGGUCCGGCGAGUUAUUGUUACUGGCAAGCUUAAGGCAUUCAGUGCCGGAGGCGCAGGGAGACCGAGUCUGAAUAGGGCGUAUGAAGUCAGUGGCAAUAGACCCGAAACCGGGUGACCUAUCCAUGGGCAGGUUGAAGUGGGGGUAAAACCCCAUGGAGGACCGAACGCACGCCCGUUGCAAUGGUCGGCGAUGACCUGUGGAUAGCGGUGAAAUUCCAAUCGAACUCGGAGAUAGCUGGUUCUCCCCGAAAUAGCUUUAGGGCUAGCGUUGGCUUAGAUUACCGGAGGUAAAGCACUGAAUGGGCUAGGGGCCGAUAAGGUUACUGAACCCUAUCAAACUCUGAAUGCCGGAUAAUUGAUGGCCAGCAGUCAGUCUACGUGAGAUAAGUCUCGUGGACAAAAGGGAAACAGCCCAGACCCACAGCUAAGGUCCCAAAGAUACGCUAAGUGGAAAACGAUGUGGAGUUGCGAAAACAACCAGGAUGUUGGCUUAGAAGCAGCCACUCAUUAAAAGAGUGCGUAAUAGCUCACUGGUCGAGUGACUCUGCGCGGAAAAUAUAACGGGGCUAAGCGUAACACCGAAGCUUGGGCUGCACAGCAAUGUGCGGGGUAGGGGAGCGUCGAAUAUGGGGUGAAGUCGCAGCGGAAGCAGCGGUGGACUGUAUUCGAGUGAGAAUGCCGGAAUGAGUAGCGAGAAUUAUGUGGGAAUCAUAAUGGCCGAAAAUCUAAGGUUUCCUGGGGAAGGUUCGUCCGCCCAGGGUAAGCCGGGAGCUAAGGCGAGGCCGAAAGGCGUAGUCGAUGCACAUACGGUUGAAAUUCCGUAGCCACCGAACCUUAAGUACACUGACACAUGGAGAUAGCGGGACCCGGGCGUUGGUUGACCCGGGCGUAAGGGACCGAACUUUAGUAGGGAAGUCCGCGAUGCUCUGUGGCGAGAAAAGGUGUAUGGUAUGCUAAGGUGCCCGUACCGCAAACCGACACAGGUAGAUGAGGAGAGAAUCCUAAGGCCAACGGGAGAAGGGUUGUUAAGGAACUCGGCAAAAUGACCCCGUAACUUCGGGAUAAGGGGAGCCUCCUACGGGAGGCCGCAGCGAAUAGGCCCAAGCGACUGUUUACCAAAAACACAGGUCUCUGCUAAAUCGAAAGAUGACGUAUAGGGGCUGACGCCUGCCCGGUGCUGGAAGGUUAAGAGGAGAUGUUAGCCGCAAGGCGAAGCAUUGAAUCGAAGCCCCAGUAAACGGCGGCCGUAACUAUAACGGUCCUAAGGUAGCGAAAUUCCUUGUC